rnacentral:rRNA from 1 species
AUUGAACGCUGGCGGCAGGCCUAACACAUGCAAGUCGAGCGGGGACUUCGGUCCUAGCGGCGAACGGGUGAGUAAUGCUUGGGAAUCUGCCCAGUAGUGGGGGAUAACGUCCCGAAAGGGACGCUAAUACCGCAUACGUCCUACGGGAGAAAGAGUGGGAUCUUCGGACCUCUCGCUAUUGGAUGAGCCCAAGUCGGAUUAGCUAGUUGGUAGGGUAAUGGCCUACCAAGGCGACGAUCCGUAGCUGGUCUGAGAGGAUGAUCAGCCACACUGGAACUGAGACACGGUCCAGACUCCUACGGGAGGCAGCAGUGGGGAAUAUUGGACAAUGGGCGAAAGCCUGAUCCAGCCAUGCCGCGUGUGUGAAGAAGGCCUUCGGGUUGUAAAGCACUUUAAGCGGGGAGGAAGGUUCGCGGCCUAAUACGUCGCGGAAUUGACGUUACCCGCAGAAUAAGCACCGGCUAACUCUGUG